rnacentral:lncRNA from 1 species
GAUUUUGGUGGUAUAGUGUAACUGAAUGUGCGUUGGUUGUGGCAUUUGUAUGGCUGAAAUUUUUUAAUGGAUUUUUUAAUUUUUUUUCUUAGGAUCCUACAAUCAAAUUGAUAUUCGAUAAAUUGGUUUAGGAUUUGGACUUAUUGGUUCGAUUUAGUUGUAAAAUGAUAAAUAAUUAUAAACAAAAUUAAAAUUUAUUUAAUAAUUUGUAAAAAUAUAAAGUUGAAA